UACGUAGGGUGCAAGCGUUAAUCGGAAUUACUGGGCGUAAAGCGUGCGCAGGCGGUCCGUUAAGACAGAUGUGAAAUCCCCGGGCUAACCUGGGAACUGCAUUUGUGACUGGCGGACUCGAGUAUGGCAGAGGGGGGGUAGAAUUCCACGUGUAGCAGUGAAAAUGCGUAGAGAUGUGGAGGAAUACCGAUGCGAAGGCAGCCCCC
rnacentral:rRNA from 1 species